rnacentral:lncRNA from 1 species
GCGGCUCCAGGCUCGGAUGAGGCAGCGGGUGAAGAGGGGGCGUAAGUUCUGAGGGUGACCUUGGUUAGAUCUCUUGCGAGAGAUUUUUUUUUAUGUUUUUAUGUUUCGGCCUUGAAUGGCCUUGUUUGUAUUUCGGGACUGGCCGUGUGUGGCUUUGAAUCCCUGCUGCUCCGCGGCUUUCUUUUUAUGGUAUGAUAAUCGGAUAACGCUUUUUAUGAAUUUGUGAAUAGUGGGG